AUGGAAAUGACACUAAUGGCGCACCAGACAUGUGAUGCGCCAUUAGCAUAUACUAAUGGCGCACCACCUUCUGAUGCGCCAUUAGUGUUGAAACUACUAAUGGCGCACCCUGCCCACGGUGCGCCAUUAGUACCAAUUUUUCUUUUUGAACUAGUGCGCCUGUCCAAACAUACUAAUGGCGCAUCCACUGGUGGUGCGCCAUUACUAGUUGUAACUAGUAAUGACGCACCAGCCAGAAGGUGCGCCACUAAUGUUAUUUUUUUAUUAUUGUUUUUAUUCCUUUUUUUGCAAAAGUACUAA
rnacentral:rRNA from 1 species